CCUACGGGAGGCAGCAGUAGGGAAUCUUCCACAAUGGACGAAAGUCUGAUGGAGCAACGCCGCGUGAAGGAAGAAGGCUUUCGGGUUGUAAACUUCUUUUAUCAGGGACGAAGCAAGUGACGGUACCUGAUGAAUAAGCCACGGCUAACUACGUGCCAGCAGCCGCGGUAAUACGUAGGUGGCAAGCGUUAUCCGGAUUUACUGGGUGUAAAGGGCGUGUAGGCGGGAGUGCAAGUCAGAUGUGAAAACUAUGGGCUCAACCCAUAGCCUGCAUUUGAAACUGUACUUCUUGAGUGCUGGAGAGGCAAUCGGAAUUCCGUGUGUAGCGGUGAAAUGCGUAGAUAUACGGAGGAACACCAGUGGCGAAGGCGGAUUGCUGGACAGUAACUGACGCUGAGGCGCGAAAGCGUGGGGAGCAAACAGGAUUAGAUACCCCAGUAGUC
rnacentral:rRNA from 1 species